AUGGCCACUGCGAACCAAGACUGCGCCGCGACGUUCCAGUUCCACGACCAUCGCGGAGGUCCGGCAGCGACGGAGCUCCACGGCCGGACGAUCUCCUCCGAGCAGGAGCACGGCAUCAUCGUCGCCGCGCUGCGGCACGUCGUGUCCGGCUACACCACGGCGCCGCCGGAGGUCGUCGUGGCCGUGGCGUGCGGGCGGUGCGGCAUCGACGGCUGCCUCGGGUGCGACUUCUUCGGGGCCACCGAGCCGGAGGCGGAGGCGGCGGCCGUGCCCGUGGGAGCGGCGGGAGGGGGCCAGAGGAAGCGGCGGAGGAAGAAGAACGUCUACCGCGGCGUGCGGCAGCGGCCGUGGGGGAAGUGGGCGGCGGAGAUCCGCGACCCGCGCCGCGCGGUGCGCAAGUGGCUCGGGACCUUCGACACCGCCGAGGAUGCCGCGCGGGCGUACGACCUCGCCGCGCUCGAGUUCCGCGGCCCGCGCGCCAGGCUCAACUUCCCGUGCUCCGACGAGCCUCUGCGUGUGCACGGGAGCGGCAAUGGCGGUGAUGGUGAUGCUGGCGCGGCGCCGCAGAACGAGACUCUGACCACGCCGUCGCCGUGCAGCACGGACGCCGGCCAGAGGACGCCGGGACAAUGGCAGCUGGCUGCGGACGGGGCCGGCGACCAGCUGUGGGAAGGCUUGCAGGAUCUCAUGACGAUAGAUGGAGAGGGCCCAUGGUUCGCGCCAUUUUCGAGUCCAGCAUAA
rnacentral:rRNA from 1 species